AUGAACGCUAGCUACAGGCUUAACACAUGCAAGUCGAGGGGCAGCAUGGUCUUAGCUUGCUAAGGCCGAUGGCGACCGGCGCACGGGUGAGUAACACGUAUCCAACCUGCCGUCUACUCUUGGACAGCCUUCUGAAAGGAAGAUUAAUACAAGAUGGCAUCAUGAGUCCGCAUGUUCACAUGAUUAAAGGUAUUCCGGUAGACGAUGGGGAUGCGUUCCAUUAGAUAGUAGGCGGGGUAACGGCCCACCUAGUCUUCGAUGGAUAGGGGUUCUGAGAGGAAGGUCCCCCACAUUGGAACUGAGACACGGUCCAAACUCCUACGGGAGGCAGCAGUGAGGAAUAUUGGUCAAUGGGCGAGAGCCUGAACCAGCCAAGUAGCGUGAAGGAUGACUGCCCUAUGGGUUGUAAACUUCUUUUAUAAAGGAAUAAAGUCGGGUAUGCAUACCCGUUUGCAUGUACUUUAUGAAUAAGGAUCGGCUAACUCCGUGCCAGCAGCCGCGGUAAUACGGAGGAUCCGAGCGUUAUCCGGAUUUAUUGGGUUUAAAGGGAGCGUAGAUGGAUGUUUAAGUCAGUUGUGAAAGUUUGCGGCUCAACCGUAAAAUUGCAGUUGAUACUGGAUAUCUUGAGUGCAGUUGAGGCAGGCGGAAUUCGUAGUGUAGCGGUGGAAUGCUUAGAUAUCACGAAGAACUCCGAUUGCGAAGGGAGCCUGCUAAGCUGCAACUGACAUUGAGGCUCGAAAGUGUGGGUAUCAAACAGGAUUAGAUACCCUGGUAGUCCACACGGUAAACGAUGAAUACUCGCUGUUUGCGAUAUACGGCAAGCGGCCAAGCGAAAGCGUUAAGUAUUCCACCUGGGGAGUACGCCGGCAACGGUGAAACUCAAAGGAAUUGACGGGGGCCCGCACAAGCGGAGGAACAUGUGGUUUAAUUCGAUGAUACGCGAGGAACCUUACCCGGGCUUAAAUUGCAGAUGAAUUACGGUGAAAGCCGUAAGCCGCAAGGCAUCUGUGAAGGUGCUGCAUGGUUGUCGUCAGCUCGUGCCGUGAGGUGUCGGCUUAAGUGCCAUAACGAGCGCAACCCUUGUUGUCAGUUACUAACAGGUUCCGCUGAGGACUCUGACAAGACUGCCAUCGUAAGAUGUGAGGAAGGUGGGGAUGACGUCAAAUCAGCACGGCCCUUACGUCCGGGGCUACACACGUGUUACAAUGGGGGGUACAGAGGGCCGCUACCACGCGAGUGGAUGCCAAUCCCAAAAACCUCUCUCAGUUCGGACUGGAGUCUGCAACCCGACUCCACGAAGCUGGAUUCGCUAGUAAUCGCGCAUCAGCCACGGCGCGGUGAAUACGUUCCCGGGCCUUGUACACACCGCCCGUCAAGCCAUGGGAGCCGGGGGUACCUGAAGUGCGUAACCGCGAGGAGCGCCCUAGGGUAAAACUGGUGACUGGGGCU
rnacentral:rRNA from 1 species